rnacentral:rRNA from 1 species
AGAAUCAACGCUGGCGGCGUGCCUAACACAUGCAAGUCGAACGAGAAAGGGUAGCAAUACCUGAGUAAAGUGGCGCACGGGUGAGUAACACGUGACUAACCUACCUUUUAGUGGGGGAUAACCUAGGGAAACCUGGGCUAAUACCGCAUAAUACCUACGGGUCAAAGCAGCAAUGCGCUGAAUGAGGGGGUCGCGGUCGAUUAGUUAGUUGGCAGGGUAAUGGCCUACCAAGACUGUGAUCG